rnacentral:rRNA from 1 species
UACGAAGGGGGCUAGCGUUGCUCGGAAUGACUGGGCGUAAAGGGCGCGUAGGCGGAUGUGUCAGUCAGGGGUGAAAUCCCGGGGCUCAACCUCGGAACUGCCUUUGAUACAGCACGUCUCGAGUCCGGAAGAGGUGGGUGGAAUUCCUAGUGGUAGAGGUGAAAUUCGUAGAUAUUAGGAAGAACACCGGUGGCGAAGGCGGCCCACUGGUCCGGUACUGACGCUGAGGUGCGAAAGCGUGGGGAGCAAACAGG